CAACAACUGGACACACUCUGGACUUGUGGAAUGGUGUGCGUCCACAAAGCAUAAAUCAUGUUUCUGACAUGGAUUGUUAACUGAUCUACAUUUCAAAACAUCAUUUCCAAGAACUCCAUAUUCUCCAUAUCCCAGAGACGAUGGACCUAAACACAGAGGAUCUCCUUAUAGAUAGUGUUAUACACACAGAAGAUGAUGCUAUCAGACCGUGACUGCUAAGAGCUGCAGAUAGGAACAUGUGAGCAUCUCAAAGAACUUCACCUACUCUAAGGGAAACACCACCAACUGUGGUAAAAAAAGUUAAUCAGCUGUACCAGUGAUUGUCCGGGCGGUGAGUUUGUUAAUUUCGUUACCCAUCAUUAAUUUGGUUCGAGAGGGCCGGUUCCAUCAGGCUGACAUGUAAAACUUUCUCUUAUGGCUCCUAAAAUCAUGUCCCUCUCUUAAUAAAAACACUUUCAUAAUUUUUCAUAUUUCAUGCACAACACAUAGGAUUGAAACUUCGUACAUGUAGUGGGUUUACUUUCCAAGCUCAAUAUUUCCUUUAUACCAUUUUUAAUGUCAUCACAACAUAACAACCAAAACUACAUUAGUGUUCUUUAGAUCGCCUCUGACCAUUCCACACUUUCUCUGUUAGAAAUAUUGUUCCAGUUUUCACUUUAGAACAUGUUUCAGCAGGAAAAGUCUGUGAAACAAAGGCACAUUCCUCUGGUGAACACUAGAGAGGGAGAUGCUGAAUGUUCUGUCCUUGAUUUACAACACGGUGUAAGUUGUUAUAAACCCCACCAGUUCUCUCCUCCUGAGGGUCUGGUUGAAGUCAUUCAUUGCGAACUUGAUCUGACCUAUCUGGAUCCUCACAAGACAGUCAUGACAAUAUAAGUAAUCCAUCAAACUAAUGUUCUUUGAUUCGCACAGAUUCUUCUAAUGCCAGCAGCAGUUUUGUGAAUGUGACCGGGCUGCCAUUGAGUGCAUGGUUCAAAAGUCCCUACAACUCUGCCAUGACAGGCCUUGCUGGACAAUACUGUUCAAUAGAAAAACAAACAGGUACUUCCUGCUUCCUGUUUUUUUAACAGCUCCUGAGUUAUGCUAAUAGCUAAUCUAAUCAUUCCAGGUGUGCC
ensembl:lncRNA